rnacentral:pre_miRNA from 1 species
UGAGUUUAAUGGAUAUGCACUGUCAGUGUAAAACUGUUUUACACUGACAACCAAUCACAACAUGCCAUAUAAGUGAAAUAAUAUCUUUCAUCUUAAAUUUUAAUUAAAACAAGAAUAUAUUUGCUGAUGUGGCGGAAUUCAAUUGGGCGACUGUGUAAACAAAGUUUACACUGACAGUGUAUACCCAUUAAAUUCUUA